UAUAAAGCGACGAAGAGGAUAAGUAAUCUUAAGAGAGAAUCUUUCACAGAGAGCCGGGGUAGCUGGAAGCCGGUAGAUUUACUUAAGAUGAACUCACCUCAGAGUGUUAGUCUGAAAUAGUUAGAGUAGGGCUAACCGGGUGGUUGACACACAGACACUCGUUAUUAAAACGAAUGCUUGAAAAAAGCAUUCAUGAGGCAGCGCAAAUUUGCUGUAAAUAAGGGUGGUACCGCGUAAAGUAAAGUCUUUUCGCCCCUUAA
rnacentral:ncRNA from 1 species